rfam:Schistosoma curassoni strain Dakar, Senegal genome assembly, scaffold: SCTD_scaffold0001986
AUCCAGCUAAUGAGUCCCAAAUAGGACGAAACGCGCGUCAAACUAUAU